rnacentral:rRNA from 1 species
UGGGGAAUAUUGGACAAUGGGGGCAACCCUGAUCCAGCCAUGCCGCGUGAGUGAUGAAGGCCUUCGGGUUGUAAAGCUCUUUUGGCGGGGACGAUGAUGACGGUACCCGCAGAAUAAGCCCCGGCUAACUUCGUGCCAGCAGCCGCGGUAAGACGAAGGGGGCUAGCGUUGUUCGGAAUUACUGGGCGUAAAGCGAGUGUAGGCGGUUGCCGUAGUCAGGUGUGAAAGCCUUGAGCUCAACUCAAGAAAUGCACUUGAUACUGGGUGACUAGAGGACCGGAGAGGAUAGUGGAAUUCCCAGUGUAGUGGUGAAAUACGUAGAGAUUGGGAAGAACACCAGUGGCGAAGGCGGCUAUCUGGACGGUUACUGACGCUAAGACUCGAAAGCGUGGGGAGCAAACAGGAUUAGAUACCCUGGUAGUCCACGCCGUAAACGAUGGGUGCUAGACGUUGGCGAGCUUGCUCGUCAGUGUCGCAGCUAACGCGUUAAGCACCCCGCCUGGGGAGUACGGCCGCAAGGUUGAAANUCAAAAUGAAUUGCGGGGUCAUAGCUGUUUCCU